rnacentral:rRNA from 1 species
UACAGAGGUCUCGAGCGUUGUUCGGAUUCAUUGGGCGUAAAGGGCGCGUAGGCGGCGGGGUAAGUCUGGUGUGAAAUCUCGGAGCUCAACUCCGAAAUUGCACUGGAUACUGCUCUGCUAGAGGGCUGGAGAGGAGAUCGGAAUUCACGGUGUAGCAGUGAAAUGCGUAGAUAUCGUGAGGAAGACCAGUGGCGAAGGCGGAUCUCUGGACAGCUCCUGACGCUGAGGUGCGAAAGCGUGGGGAGCAAACAGG